UAGUCCACGCCGUAAACGAUGUCUACUUGGAGGUUGUGGCCUUGAGCCGUGGCUUUCGGAGCUAACGCGUUAAGUUGACCGCCUGGGGACUACGGCCGCAAGGCUAAAACUCAAAGGAAUUGACGGGGACCCGCACAAGCGGUGGAGCAUGUGGCUUAAUUCGAUGCAACGCGAAGAACCUUACCCAGGCUUGACAUGCUUGUCGUAUUCUCCCGAAACGGAGAAGUCAGUUCGGCUGGACAAUGCACAGGUGCUGCAUGGCUGUCGUCAGCUCGUGCCGUGAGGUGUUGGGUUAAGUCCCGCAACGAGCGCAACCCUUGUCGUUAGUUGCCAUCAGGGAGUGAUCCGCUGGGCACUCUAACGNGACUGCCGGUGAUAAGCCGGAGGAAGGUGGGGGAUGACGUCAAGUCAGUAUGGGCCCUUAUGCCUGGGGGCUGCACACGUGCUACAAU
rnacentral:rRNA from 1 species